UGCGGCCGCAACUCCGGUUGAUCCUGCCGGACCCGACCGCUAUCGGGGUGGGGCUAAGCCAUGGGAGUCGUACGCCCCUCCGCUGAGGGGCGUGGCGGACGGCUGAGUAACACGUGGCUAACCUACCCUCGGGACGGGGAUAACUCCGGGAAACUGGAGCUAAUCCCCGAUAGGCGAGGGGGCCUGGAAGGGUCCCUCGCCGAAAGGGUGCGGCGGGGGUUAUCGCCGCCGUGCCGCCCGAGGAUGGGGCUGCGGCCCAUCAGGUAGUUGGCGGGGUAACGGCCCGCCAAGCCGAUAACGGGUAGGGGCCGUGAGAGCGGGAGCCCCCAGAUGGGCACUGAGACAAGGGCCCAGGCCCUACGGGGUGCACCAGGCGCGAAACCUC
rnacentral:rRNA from 1 species